GACGAACGCUGGCGGCGUGCUUAACACAUGCAAGUCGAACGGAAAGGCCCUGCUUUUGUGGGGUGCUCGAGUGGCGAACGGGUGAGUAACACGUGAGUAACCUGCCCUUGACUUUGGGAUAACUUCAGGAAACUGGGGCUAAUACCGGAUAGGAGCUCCUGCUGCAUGGUGGGGGUUGGAAAGUUUCGGCGGUUGGGGAUGGACUCGCGGCUUAUCAGCUUGUUGGUGGGGUAGUGGCUUACCAAGGCUUUGACGGGUAGCCGGCCUGAGAGGGUGGCCGGCCACAUUGGGACUGAGAGACGGCCCAGACUCCUACGGGAGGCAGCAGUGGGGAAUAUUGCACAAUGGGCGGAAGCCUGAUGCAGCAACGCCGCGUGCGGGAUGACGGCCUUCGGGUUGUAAACCGCUUUCGCCUGUGACGAAGCGUGAGUGACGGUAAUGGGUAAAGAAGCACCGGCUAACUACGUG
rnacentral:rRNA from 1 species